rnacentral:rRNA from 1 species
ACAGGGAUUGCCCCAGUAACGGCGAGUGAAGCGGCAACAGCUCAAAUUUGAAAUCUGGCUCUUUUAGAGUCCGAGUUGUAAUUUGCAGAGGGCGCUUUGGCUUUGGCAGCGGUCCAAGUUCCUUGGAACAGGACGUCACAGAGGGUGAGAAUCCCGUACGUGGUCGCUGGCUAUUGCCGUGUAAAGCCCCUUCGACGAGUCGAGUUGUUUGGGAAUGCAGCUCUAAAUGGGAGGUACAUUUCUUCUAAAGCUAAAUAUUGGCCAGAGACCGAUAGCGCACAAGUAGAGUGAUCGAAAGAUGAAAAGCACUUUGGAAAGAGAGUCAAACAGCACGUGAAAUUGUUGAAAGGGAAGCGCUUGCAGCCAGACUUGCUUGCAGUUGCUCAUCCGGGCUUUUGCCCGGUGCACUCUUCUGUAGGCAGGCCAGCAUCAGUUUUGGCGGUAGGAUAAAGGUCUCUGUCACGUACCUCCUCUCGGGGAGGCCUUAUAGGGGAGACGACAUACUACCAGCCGGAACUGAGGUCCGCGCAUCUGCUAGGAUGCUGGCGUAAUGGCUGUAAGCGGCCCGUCUUGAAACACGGACCAAGGAGUCUAACAUCUAUGCGAGUGUUUGGGUGUCAAGCCCGAGCGCGUAAUGAAAGUGAACGGAGGUAGGAACCCGCAAGGGUGCACUAUCGACCGAUCCUGAUGUCUUCGGAAGGAUUUGAGUAAGAGCAUGGCUGUUGGGACCCGAAAGAUGGUGAACUAUGCUUGAAUAGGGUGAAGCCAGAGGAAACUCUGGUGGAGGCUCGCAGCGGUUCUGACGUGCAAAUCGAUCGUCAAAUUUGGGCAUAGGGGCGAAAGACUAAU